rnacentral:sRNA from 1 species
UACGAAACUGAACAUUUUCGAUACUAUCGAAAACUAAUCGACUGAUCUUCUGUAAUGCUAUUAUGAGGAUCACCCUUUGAGGUUCAUAGCAAUAGGUCGCCCUAUGGUCGGUUACAUGCUUUUGUG